AUGCCGCGCGGCCGCGACGAGCCGGCCGCCGUGCGCGUCUACACAGUAUGCGACGAGUCCAAGUACCUCAUCGUCCGGAACGUGCCUUCUCUCGGGUGCGGCGACGAGCUCGGCACCCUGUUCUCGUCGUACGGGCCGCUGGAAGAGUGCAAGCCCAUGGAUGCCGAGGACUGCGAGGAGUACACCGACGUCUUCUUCAUCAACUUCUCGCAGCUCAGCAACGCGAGGUUCGCAAAAAGGAAGUUAGAUGAGUCUGUAUUUCUUGGCAACCGGCUGCAGGUGUCAUAUGCACCUCAAUUUGAGAGUAUUUUGGAUACCAAGGAGAAACUGGAAGUCCGGAGAAACGAAGUCCUCAGCCGAAUAAGAUCCUCUGUUGGAAGCAGAUCAGAACGGUUAACUCAGUAUUCUCCAGGGCAGGGAUCUUCUAGUGGGAACUUGCAUCAUCAUAUGAGCCCCAAUAAGAGGACUAUUUUCCAUCCGAGUCGAUGA
rnacentral:rRNA from 1 species